UACGGGGGGGGCAAGCGUUGUUCGGAAUUACUGGGCGUAAAGGGCUGGUAGGCGGCCAACUAAGUCGGAUGUGAAAUCCCCAGGCUCAACCUGGGAACUGCGUCCGAUACUGGAUGGCUUGAAUUCGGGAGAGGGAUGCAGAAUUCCAGGUGUAGCGGUGAAAUGCGUAGAUAUCUGGAGGAAUACCGGUGGCGAAGGCGGCAUCCUGGACCGACAUUGACGCUGAGGAGCGAAAGCUAGGGGAGCAAACGGG
rnacentral:rRNA from 1 species